rnacentral:rRNA from 1 species
UACGGGGGGGGCAAGCGUUGUUCGGAAUCACUGGGCUUAAAGGGCGCGUAGGCGGCCGGGUUGGUCGUGGGUGAAAUCCCCCAGCUUAACUGGGGAACUGCCUACGAUACUGCCUGGCUCGAGGGAGGAAGGGGCGGUCGGAACUGUCGGUGGAGCGGUGAAAUGCGUUGAUAUCGACAGGAACGCCGGUGGCGAAGGCGGGAUCCUGGGCCAGUACUGACGCUGAGGAGCGAAAGCGUGGGGAGCAAACAGG